UACGGAGGGGGCUAGCGUUGUUCGGAAUUACUGGGCGUAAAGCGCGCGUAGGCGGACCUGCAAGUCGGGGGUGAAAGCCCGAGGCUCAACCUCGGAACUGCCUUCGAUACUGCGGGUCUCGAGUCCGGGAGAGGUGAGUGGAAUUCCUAGUGUAGAGGUGAAAUUCGUAGAUAUUAGGAAGAACACCAGUGGCGAAGGCGGCUCACUGGCCCGGUACUGACGCUGAGGCGCGAAAGCCAGGGGAGCGAAUGGG
rnacentral:rRNA from 1 species